ACUUUCAUUUUUAUGAUGAUGCCAAAAAAUGGGUCGACUCUUGGAUAGCCUCAAAAGACAUGUCGUUUUUCCGACGUGGAAUUCAAAUGCUGCCAGAAAGAUGGGAAAAAGUAGUGGCUAGCGAUGGACAAUACUUUCAAUAAAACAUUAAGUAC